GUCAUCAUCACACAUCCAUGUUAACCAUCAUCAUCCUCCUCCAGCUCCACCGCUACGAUGCUGCGUCUCACCCCGCAGGCUCUCAUGAUGUGUGUCAGUGCGUUAGUUAACGCACAGCCCGAGGACUCCAAGCUGACCGAGAGAGCUUAUGUUGUUUUACAGAAGCAGAAUUUAGUCGCAUUUGGGAGUGUCCUCGCAGUCCUGCUGGUGCUAAUGAUCAUCAUGGCUGUCUGUGUAUACAAACCGCUGUCUCGUCGGUGAAUCUGGCCCAAAAUCUGGAGGAGAUAAAGACCCGAGAGACAGAUCUGCUGUCCGCCCGGUGCACCGAGCACCGAGCAGCUCAGCCCCGGUGCUACCACACAGCCACCACCUGACGGGACCACAAUAGAGGGGGGAGCCGAGCUAUUCAAAACAGCUACCAGAAAACCCCCAGAUCGCACAAUUAUAAAUAUAUACAUAUGAACUGGGGUUUCAUUUGUCAUGAAAUCGGGUUAUUAAGCGCUACUGUAUGUUUGGAUGCGUCAGGAUAUCACACCUAUUUUGAUAUGCUGUCAUUUCUGUAAGACUCCUGUAAACAGAGGGAAAUGGGACAAAUGAUCUAGGCUGUUAAAUAUAUUACAUGUCACAUUUUAUUUAUUUAUUUGGACUUCACAUUUGAAGGGAAGGCUGUACAUAUGUGUAGUUAGUUUGUUUUUAAGGCCAAGUGUCUGUCUUAUUAUUAUUGACAGACAUUUGGUCAAUAAAGCUGGAGUUCUGCAAACAUUAAAUAUAUUCAACUGGGAUUAUAAAGUGAGAGAGUUGCAGUUACAAUUAUACCAGUUUUGGAUAGAUUUCUUUCCCUAAAUGUGGAAAUCUGUUUAUCAUUAUUUAAAUGAACUGUUUAUUUAAUUUAUUUGUAACACUUAAGGACUUUAAAUGUAAACGUUGUGUAUAUAGGUGUAUUUGUUUAAAGGAAUUGUGCUAAUACUAAAUGUGGAGUCCUGAAGUCAUUACAAUAGUGGGAUUACAAAGUGAGAAGGCUUCUGUGCAGAUUAAAUCCAGUAAAACCAACAAAUAACUUAAUUAUUUUCUCCCUAAUUGAGAAAAUCUGCUCAAUUUCCUCAAAUAAAACAUUCCUUCUUUGUA